rnacentral:rRNA from 1 species
GUCCUAGCCGUAAACGAUGGGCACUAGGUGUGGGAGGUAUUGACCCCUUCCGCGCCGUAGCUAACGCAUUAAGUGCCCCGCCUGGGGAGUACGGCCGCAAGGCUAAAACUCAAAGGAAUUGACGGGGGCCCGCACAAGCGGUGGAGCAUGUGGUUUAAUUCGACGCAACGCGAAGAACCUUACCAGGGCUUGACAUCCCACGAACCCGUCUGAAAGGGCGGGGUGCCCGCAAGGGAACGUGGAGACAGGUGGUGCAUGGCUGUCGU